UGAGCUAUAAUACUCUUGGGAACAGUUU
rnacentral:piRNA from 1 species